UAAUAUACAUCGAGAAUUCAUAUAGUCGACCCAAACUACUUGAUUGAAGCUUGGUUGUUUAGAAGGUUUUGACAGUUUAUAAAAUAUAAAAGUGUGCAAUAAUUUAGGAUACAGAUAGUAACACUAUAUAAUUAAGGCUCAUUUUGGCAUGGUUUAAAAAAUUUAGAACAGUUUUCUCAUUUGCUGACCAGAAAGUUAUGUGCUCCAACCAAACCUGUUUUUGCUGGUGCCUAUUAUUAAAGCUAUAUAUGCACAAGAGCCAGUUUCUUCACUGUGUUCGUCGAUAAACAUAAACCAUCCGAGCCAUUCAUUUCUGCUUGUGCUCAUCGAUGAUCGUUCAGGAACAGCAUUUUACUCAAUAUGCAUGUUUGAUACUCCUUGACUUUUAAUUUGAAUCUGAUGAUCGGAUUCCAUGUCGUUUGAAGAACUCACGAAAUCCAUAAGCACUUAGAUCAUAGUUGAAAGGUAAAACUUUGACAGAGUAUUUGGUAACAUUAGGAUCAGCAACCCUUCCCUGAGCAGCUGCCUGUUCUGGACUAUGAAAUAUCUCUACAAAUGGAUAUUCCGUCUUUUGUCUUGUUAUGCAAAACCCUGGGUACUUUGGGCAUUCGACACGUAAAAAUUUGACAUGUGGAUAAAACUCGGCUGCAGACUCCUCAAAAACUUUGUCAAGAUGUUUGCUGUAGUUACUCUUGAUUGUAAAUGCAACGACUACCGGGUAGCCUUGAUGAAGAAGUUGGACAAAUUCCCUUUCCGAGGUAAAGUGAAUAACCUUCGAUGGCCCAAGAUCUUUAGGAUAGCCUGUGUAAUACUUGCAAGAGGAACGAAGGUUGACAAUGAAUUUGGUAAAGAAUGAUUGUUCCUCCAUAAUAAGUAAUCAAAAUGCAGAUUUAGUCUCCGUAUUAUGCUAUAAAUUUCAAAAUCCCAAAUUCGAUGCAGAUCAAGUUAAUUGCUAACGAGAAAUCGAAUUUACAACUUUCAGAAACGAAAAUGGAGAAUUUCCAUGGAAUUGGAGAUUUUGAAAAAAACAAAAAUAGAAGGGUUACAGGGUUUUGCAGUGAAGAAGAAGAAGACAAAAUGA
rnacentral:misc_RNA from 1 species